GACGAACGCUGGCGGCGUGCUUAACACAUGCAAGUCGAACGGAAAGGCCCUGCUUUUGUGGGGUGCUCGAGUGGCGAACGGGUGAGUAACACGUGAGUAACCUGCCCUUGACUUUGGGAUAACUUCAGGAAACUGGGGCUAAUACCGGAUAGGAGCUCCUGCUGCAUGGUGGGGGUUGGAAAGUUUCGGCGGUUGGGGAUGGACUCGCGGCUUAUCAGCUUGUUGGUGGGGUAGUGGCUUACCAAGGCUUUGACGGGUAGCCGGCCUGAGAGGGUGACCGGCCACAUUGGGACUGAGAUACGGCCCAGACUCCUACGGGAGGCAGCAGUGGGGAAUAUUGCACAAUGGGCGGAAGCCUGAUGCAGCAACGCCGCGUGCGGGAUGACGGCCUUCGGGUUGUAAACCGCUUUCGCCUGUGACGAAGCGUGAGUGACGGUAAUGGGUAAAGAAGCACCGGCUAACUACGUGCCAGCAGCCGCGGUGAUACGUAGGGUGCGAGCGUUGUCCGGAUUUAUUGGGCGUAAAGGGCUCGUAGGUGGUUGAUCGCGUCGGAAGUGUAAUCUUGGGGCUUAACCCUGAGCGUGCUUUCGAUACGGGUUGACUUGAGGAAGGUAGGGGAGAAUGGAAUUCCUGGUGGAGCGGUGGAAUGCGCAGAUAUCAGGAGGAACACCAGUGGCGAAGGCGGUUCUCUGGGCCUUUCCUGACGCUGAGGAGCGAAAGCGUGGGGAGCGAACAGGCUUAGAUACCCUGGUAGUCCACGCUGUAAACGGUGGGUACUAGGUGUGGGGUCCACUCCACGGGUUCCGUGCCGUAGCUAACGCUUUAAGUACCCCGCCUGGGGAGUACGGCCGCAAGGCUAAAACUCAAAGGAAUUGACGGGGCCCCGCACAAGCGGCGGAGCAUGCGGAUUAAUUCGAUGCAACGCGUAGAACCUUACCUGGGUUUGACAUGGAUCGGGAGUGCUCAGAGAUGGGUGUGCCUCUUUUGGGGUCGGUUCACAGGUGGUGCAUGGCUGUCGUCAGCUCGUGUCGUGAGAUGUUGGGUUAAGUCCCGCAACGAGCGCAACCCUUGUUCACUGUUGCCAGCACGUUAUGGUGGGGACUCAGUGGAGACCGCCGGGGUCAACUCGGAGGAAGGUGGGGAUGACGUCAAGUCAUCAUGCCCCUUAUGUCCAGGGCUUCACGCAUGCUACAAUAGCUGGUACAGAGAGUGGCGAGCCUGUGAGGGUGAGCGAAUCUCGGAAAGCCGGUCUCAGUUCGGAUUGGGGUCUGCAACUCGACCUCAUGAAGUCGGAGUCGCUAGUAAUCGCAGAUCAGCAACGCUGCGGUGAAUACGUUCCCGGG
rnacentral:rRNA from 1 species